rnacentral:rRNA from 1 species
UACGGAGGAUGCGAGCGUUAUCCGGAUUUAUUGGGUUUAAAGGGUGCGUAGGUGGUUGAUUAAGUCAGUGGUGAAAGUUUGUCGCUCAACGAUAAAAUUGCCAUUGAAACUGGUUAACUUGAGUAUGUUUGAGGUAGGCGGAAUGCGUAGUGUAGCGGUGAAAUGCAUAGAUAUUACGCAGAACUCCAAUUGCGAAGGCAGCUUACUAAACCAUAACUGACACUGAAGCACGAAAGCGUGGGUAUCAACAGG